ACCCAAGGUUUCCAGAGGAAGGUUCGUCCGCUCUGGGUAAGUCGGGACCUAAGGCGAGGCCGAGAGGCGUAGUCGAUGGACAACAGGUAGAGAUUCCUGUACUUACGGUAUGAAUGAUGGAGUGACGGAGAAGGCUAGCGGAUCCUGCUGAUGGAAAUGCAGGUGCAAGCGAGGUAGCCGACAGCCAGGCAAAUCCGGCUGUCGAAAGGCAAAGGCGUGAGGCGUAUGGAAAGCUGCGGCAAGUACAGAAGUCCGUGAAGCCAGCUUCCAAGAAAAGCUUCUAGUGAUAAUCAUACAGUAACCCGUACCGAAAAUGGACACACAUGGGUGAGGAGAGAAUCCUAAGGUGAGCGAGAGAACUAUAGCUAAGGAACUCUGCAAAAUGACUCCGUAACUUAGGGAUAAGGAGUGCUCAUAGAGAUAUGAGCCGCAGUGAAACGGCCCAAGCGACUGUUUACCAAAAACACAGCUCUAUGCUAAGUCGAAAGACGACGUAUAUGGGGUGACGCCUGCCCGGUGCUGGAAGGUUAAGAGGAUGUGUCAGCGCAAGCGAAGCAUUGAAUUGAAGCCCCAGUAAACGGCGGCCGUAACUAUAACGGUCCUAAGGUAGCGAAAUUCCUUGUCAGGUAAGUUCUGACCCGCACGAAAGGCGUAACGAUUUGGGCGCUGUCUCAGCUGUAGACUCGGUGAAGUCUUAGUACCUGUGAAGAUGCAGGUUACCCGCGACUAGACGGAAAGACCCCAUGGAGCUUUACUGUAGCUUGAUAUUGGACUUUGAUGCAAGAUGUACAGGAUAGGUAGGAGACUGAGAGACAUGCACGCCAGUGUGUGAGGAGUCAAUGUUGGGAUACUACUCUUCUUGUAUUGGAGUUCUAACCGGAUGCCAUGGAACUGGCAACGGGACAGUGUCAGGUGGGCAGUUUGACUGGGGCGGUCGCCUCCCAAAGAGUAACGGAGGCGCCCAAAGAUACCCUCAGCUUGGAUGGAAAUCAAGCGCAGAGUGCAAAGGCAUAAGGGUGUUUGACUGCGAGACCUACAAGUCGAGCAGGGACGAAAGUCGGGCUUAGUGAUCCGGCGGUGCUGAAUGGAAAGGCCGUCGCUCAACGGAUAAAAGCUACCCUGGGGAUAACAGGCUGAUCUCCCCCAAGAGUUCACAUCGACGGGGAGGUUUGGCACCUCGAUGUCGGCUCAUCGCAUCCUGGAGCUGAAGUCGGUUCCAAGGGUUGGGCUGUUCGCCCAUUAAAGCGGUACGCGAGCUGGGUUCAGAACGUCGUGAGACAGUUCGGUCCCUAUCUGUCGUGGGCGUAGGAAGUUUGAGAAGAUCUGUCCUCAGUACGAGAGGACCGGGAUGGACAUAUCAAUGGUGCACCAGUUGUCACGCCAGUGGCACAGCUGGGUAGCUAAAUAUGGAAGGGAUAAACGCUGAAGGCAUCUAAGUGUGAAACCCACUUCAAGAUGAGACUUCCCAUUACGCAAGUAAGUAAGACCCCUUAAAGACGAUAAGGUUGAUAGGUCAGGAGUGUAAGCAUGGCGACAUGUUCAGCGGACUGAUACUAAUAGGUCGAGGACUUAACCU
rnacentral:rRNA from 1 species